rnacentral:rRNA from 1 species
UACGUAGGGUGCAAGCGUUGUCCGGAAUUAUUGGGCGUAAAGAGCUCGUAGGCGGUUUGUCGCGUCGGCUGUGAAAACCUAGGGCUCAACCCUGGGCUUGCAGCCGAUACGGGCAAACUAGAAUUCGGUAGGGGAGACUGGAAUUCCCGGUGUAGCGGUGAAAUGCGCAGAUAUCAGGAGGAACACCGGUGGCGAAGGCGGGUCUCUGGGCCGAAACUGACGCUGAGGAGCGAAAGCGUGGGGAGCAAGCAGG